rnacentral:rRNA from 1 species
AACGAACGCUGGCGGCGUGCCUAACACAUGCAAGUCGUGCGAGAAAGUUCCUUCGGGAGCGAGUAAAGCGGCGCACGGGUGAGUAACACGUAGGUAACCUGCCCCCCAGUCUGGAACAACUAGAGGAAACUCUAGCUAAUGCCGGAUGAGGCCACGAUCCCUUCGGGGGUUGCGGCCAAAGAUGGCCUCUACUUGUAAGCUAUCGCUGAGGGAUGGGCCUGCGGGCCAUUAGCUUGUUGGUGAGGUAACGGCUCACCAAGGCUGUGAUGGCUAGCUGGUCUGAGAGGAUGACCAGCCACACUGGGACUGAGACACGGCCCAGACUCCUACGGGAGGCAGCAGUGGGGAAUAUUGCGCAAUGGGCGAAAGCCUGACGCAGCGACGCCGCGUGGGUGAUGAAGGCC